UGGGACUGAGCCUGUAGGGGCCAGC
rnacentral:miRNA from 1 species